AGUGAACGCUGGCGGUAGGCCUAACACAUGCAAGUCGAACGGCAGCACAGUAAGAGCUUGCUCUUACGGGUGGCGAGUGGCGGACGGGUGAGGAAUACAUCGGAAUCUACUUUUUCGUGGGGGAUAACGUAGGGAAACUUACGCUAAUACCGCAUACGACCUACGGGUGAAAGCAGGGGAUCUUCGGACCUUGCGCGAUUGAAUGAGCCGAUGUCGGAUUAGCUAGUUGGCGGGGUAAAGACCCACCAAGGCGACGAUCCGUAGCUGGUCUGAGAGGAUGAUCGGCCACACUGGAACUUGGACACGGUCCAGGCUCCUACGAGAGGCAGCAGUGGGGAAUAUUGGACAAUGGGCGCAAGCCUGAUCCAGCCAUACCGCGUGGGUGAAGGAAGCCUUCGGGUUGUAAAGCCCUUUUGUUGGGUAAGAAAAGCAGCAGGUUAAUACCCCGCUGUUCUGACGGUACCCAAAGAAUAAGCACCGGCUAACUUCGUG
rnacentral:rRNA from 1 species